CCAGACUCCUACGGGAGGCAGCAGUGAGGAAUAUUGGUCAAUGGCCGGGAGGCUGAACCAGCCAAGUCGCGUGAGGGAAGACGGCCCUACGGGUUGUAAACCUCUUUUGUCAGGGAGCAAGGUGCAGGUCGGGACCUGCUGUGAGAGUACCUGAAGAAAAAGCAUCGGCUAACUCCGUGCCAGCAGCCGCGGUAAUACGGAGGAUGCGAGCGUUAUCCGGAUUUAUUGGGUUUAAAGGGUGCGCAGGCGGAGGCACAAGUCAGCGGUAAAAUCGCGGGGCUCAACCCCGCCCAGCCGUCGGAACUGCCGGGCUAGAGUGGGCGAGAAGUGCGCGGAAUGCGUGGUGUAGCGGUGAAAUGCAUAGAUAUCACGCAGAACUCCGAUUGCGAAGGCAGCGCACCGGCGCCCUACUGACGCUCAGGCACGAAAGCGUGGGUAUCGAACAGGAUUAGAUACCCCAGUA
rnacentral:rRNA from 1 species